rnacentral:rRNA from 1 species
AACGAACGCUGGCGGCAGGCCUAACACAUGCAAGUCGAGCGCGUGUAGCAAUACACGAGCGGCGCACGGGUGAGUAGCGCGUGGGAAUCUGCCCUGUGGUGGGGGACAACCUCGGGAAACUGAGGCUAAUACCGCAUACGUCCUUCGGGAGAAAGACUUCGGUCGCCAUAGGAGGAACCCGCGUCCGAUUAGCUAGUUGGUGAGGUAACGGCUCACCAAGGCGACGAUCGGUAGCUGGUCUGAGAGGACGGCCAGCCAAACUGGGACCGAGACACGGCCCAGACUCCUACGGGAGGCAGCAGUGGGGAGUAUUGGACAAUGGGGGCAACCCUGAUCCAGCCAUGCCGCGUGAGUGAUGAAGGCCUUCGGGUUGUAAAGCUCUUUUGGCGGGGAAGAUGAUGACGGUACCCGCAGAAUAAGCCCCGGCUAACUUCGUGCCAGCAGCCGCGGUAACAC